rnacentral:rRNA from 1 species
AAGUCGUAACAAGGUUUCCGUAGGUGAACCUGCGGAAGGAUCAUUACUGAUUUAACGAAGUGGUUGAUGCUGGUCUUUCGGGACAUGUGCUCGCCGCUUCAAAUUCACCCUUUACCACCUGUGCACUUUUGUAGACUGCAAUACCUCUCAACGAUCCAUUUCGUUGGAUCGAAGGAACAUGCGCUUCAGCUGUCCUUUCAAUUUUGCAGUCUAUUUACAUCUCCAUAUACAAGUCUUAGAAUGUCCUUUGUGGGUCUUUCGACCUAUAAAACUUAAUACAUCUUUCAACAACGGAUCUCUUGGCUCUCGCAUCGAUGAAGAACGCAGCGAAAUGCGAUAAGUAAUGUGAAUUGCAGAAUUCAGUGAAUCAUCGAAUCUUUGAAACGCACCUUGCACUCCUUGGUAUUCCGAGGAGUAUGCCUGUUUGAGUGUCAUUAAAUUCUCAAAACCUCCACCUCUUUAUUGAAGUGUCGAGGCUUUGGAUGUGGGGGUUGCUGGCUUUUCACAGAGUCGGCUCUCCUUAAAGUCAUUAGUGGUUACUGUUCUCCACUUUCCGGUGUGAUAAUUAUCUACGCCUUGUGGAGAUGUUAAGUGUAGCUGCUCUCGAACGGUUCACGCUAAUGUGAACAAAUUGAACCCUUUGACCUCAAAUCAGGUAGGACUACCCGAAGAACUUAA